rnacentral:rRNA from 1 species
AUGCCUCAAAUUCAUUUUUCCUUUGAAUUACUCAUUUUUAAUUUCACACCGGAAACUUUUCUAGGAGAAGUUUGAAUCCGUUCCGUUUGGAUAUUGAUCGGUCUUGGUUUUACAUGGUUUAUGCGUUACUGGUUCCUAGAAGAGUCAAUUUCUCUUUUACCUCAACCCUUUAUUACCCUACCUUUGGACUCGUAUUUUGUUUGUACACAAUCAACGGAGCCCCCCCAACAUAUGUUGCAACAUGUUCAGUAG